rnacentral:tRNA from 1 species
UGUAAGGUGCCUGAUUAAAGGAUAAUCUUGAUAGGAUUAGUAAUGUGACCCCCGCCACCCUUAUAA